GGCUAAGCAAUUUUUCUAUGGAGUUACAGAGAGUGAAGAAGAGAAUUGUGGUAUUUUCAUUACUGGCUUAUAUGAAUUAAAGGAGAAAAGUCACAACUUUAGAACUGCCUGUGUAGCCCUCAACUCAAUCAAUAUCCAUCAACUGCUUCUCCAAACUGUAUGAAUGAACUUAGUAAGUAUCAAAAAAAAAAAGGUGGUAGGAUGCUCAAUCCCUUAGCAGCUAAAAAAAAAAAAAGGUUUCUGCUAUUCACAAGGAAGGAAUCAAAGAAGAGAAACAAGUUCAUCAAAAUGAUAUGCAAAAAGCAGAGAAAUGAGGUAUUUAAUAGUUCUAUUUGUAGACAAGUAGUAUUUUGAUCAAAAGUUAUUAGUGAAUCUAAAGGAUUUUGAUGUUUUGAAUCAGAGUGCGCAGCGAAAACAUAGUGAUCCGAAUUAUUUAUCUAAGUUGGUCAGAAGUAUUAUUUCUUUGAUUCAGAAAGUUUUAAUAAUAAAAUUAAGAUUUGAUUUGUUUUCUUGUGUAGUAGAACUUUUCUUGAUAAAUGAAAGAAAAAUGUUCUGAUUUUUGGAUGUCGUUGUGCUAUCUUAGAUUCUCCAUUUUU
rnacentral:lncRNA from 1 species